UACGUAGGCAGCGAGCGUUGUUCGGAAUUACUGGGCGUAAAGAGUGUGUAGGCGGUGUUCCCAGUCUGUCGGUGAAAUCUCCCGGCUUAACUGGGAGGGUGCAGCGGAAACUAGAAUGCUAGAGGGUGGGAGAGGUAAGCGGAAUUCCUAGUGUAGCGGUGAAAUGCGUAGAUAUCAGGAGGAACACCUGUGGUGUAGACAGCUUACUGGACCACUUCUGACGCUGAGACACGAAAGCGUGGGUAGCAAACAGG
rnacentral:rRNA from 1 species